UUAAUUUGAGAGUUUGAUCCUGGCUCAGGACGAACGCUGGCGGCGUGCCUAAUACAUGCAAGUCGAACGAACUCUGGUAUUGAUUGGUGCUUGCAUCAUGAUUUACAUUUGAGUGAGUGGCGAACUGGUGAGUAACACGUGGGAAACCUGCCCAGAAGCGGGGGAUAACACCUGGAAACAGAUGCUAAUACCGCAUAACAACUUGGACCGCAUGGUCCGAGUUUGAAAGAUGGCUUCGGCUAUCACUUUUGGAUGGUCCCGCGGCGUAUUAGCUAGAUGGUGAGGUAACGGCUCACCAUGGCAAUGAUACGUAGCCGACCUGAGAGGGUAAUCGGCCACAUUGGGACUGAGACACGGCCCAAACUCCUACGGGAGGCAGCAGUAGGGAAUCUUCCACAAUGGACGAAAGUCUGAUGGAGCAACGCCGCGUGAGUGAAGAAGGGUUUCGGCUCGUAAAACUCUGUUGUUAAAGAAGAACAUAUCUGAGAGUAACUGUUCAGGUAUUGACGGUAUUUAACCAGAAAGCCACGGCUAACUACGUGCCAGCAGCCGCGGUAAUACGUAGGUGGCAAGCGUUGUCCGGAUUUAUUGGGCGUAAAGCGAGCGCAGGCGGUUUUUUAAGUCUGAUGUGAAAGCCUUCGGCUCAACCGAAGAAGUGCAUCGGAAACUGGGAAACUUGAGUGCAGAAGAGGACAGUGGAACUCCAUGUGUAGCGGUGAAAUGCGUAGAUAUAUGGAAGAACACCAGUGGCGAAGGCGGCUGUCUGGUCUGUAACUGACGCUGAGGCUCGAAAGUAUGGGUAGCAAACAGGAUUAGAUACCCUGGUAGUCCAUACCGUAAACGAUGAAUGCUAAGUGUUGGAGAGUUUCCGCCCUUCAGUGCUGCAGCUAACGCAUUAAGCAUUCCGCCUGGGGAGUACGGCCGCAAGGCUGAAACUCAAAGGAAUUGACGGGGGCCCGCACAAGCGGUGGAGCAUGUGGUUUAAUUCGAAGCUACGCGAAGAACCUUACCAGGUCUUGACAUACUAUGCAAAUCUAAGAGAUUAGACGUUCCCUUCGGGGACAUGGAUACAGGUGGUGCAUGGUUGUCGUCAGCUCGUGUCGUGAGAUGUUGGGUUAAGUCCCGCAACGAGCGCAACCCUUAUUAUCAGUUGCCAGCAUUAAGUUGGGCACUCUGGUGAGACUGCCGGUGACAAACCGGAGGAAGGUGGGGAUGACGUCAAAUCAUCAUGCCCCUUAUGACCUGGGCUACACACGUGCUACAAUGGAUGGUACAACGAGUUGCGAACUCGCGAGAGUAAGCUAAUCUCUUAAAGCCAUUCUCAGUUCGGAUUGUAGGCUGCAACUCGCCUACAUGAAGUCGGAAUCGCUAGUAAUCGCGGAUCAGCAUGCCGCGGUGAAUACGUUCCCGGGCCUUGUACACACCGCCCGUCACACCAUGAGAGUUUGUAACACCCAAAGUCGGUGGGGUAACCUUUUAGGAACCAGCCGCCUAAGGUGGGACAGAUGAUUAGGGUGAAGUCGUAACAAGGUAGCCGUAGGAGAACCUGCGGCUGGAUCACCUCCUUUCUAAGGAA
rnacentral:rRNA from 1 species